GACGAACGCUGGCGGCGCGCCUAACACAUGCAAGUCGAACGAGAGAGAGGAAGCUUGCUUCCUUAAUCGAGUGGCGAACGGGUGAGUAACGCGUGAGGAACCUGCCUCAAAGAGGGGGACAACAGUUGGAAACGACUGCUAAUACCGCAUAAUGUUUCCGAUCCGCAUGGAUUGGAAACCAAAGCUUUAUGUGCUGAAAGAUGGCCUCGCGUCUGAUUAGAUAGUUGGUGGGGUAACGGCCUACCAAGUCAACGAUCAGUAGCCGGUCUGAGAGGAUGAACGGCCACAUUGGGACUGAGAUACGGCCCAG
rnacentral:rRNA from 1 species